GGUUAAGCGACUAAGCGUACACGGUGGAUGCCCUGGCAGUCAGAGGCGAUGAAGGACGUGCUAAUCUGCGAUAAGCGUCGGUAAGGUGAUAUGAACCGUUAUAACCGGCGAUUUCCGAAUGGGGAAACCCAGUGUGUUUCGACACACUAUCAUUAACUGAAUCCAUAGGUUAAUGAGGCGAACCGGGGGAACUGAAACAUCUAAGUACCCCGAGGAAAAGAAAUCAACCGAGAUUCCCCCAGUAGCGGCGAGCGAACGGGGAGCAGCCCAGAGCCUGAAUCAGUGUGUGUGUUAGUGGAAGCGUCUGGAAAGGCGCGCGAUACAGGGUGACAGCCCCGUACACAAAAAUGCACAUGCUGUGAGCUCGAUGAGUAGGGCGGGACACGUGGUAUCCUGUCUGAAUAUGGGGGGACCAUCCUCCAAGGCUAAAUACUCCUGACUGACCGAUAGUGAACCAGUACCGUGAGGGAAAGGCGAAAAGAACCCCGGCGAGGGGAGUGAAAAAGAACCUGAAACCGUGUACGUACAAGCAGUGGGAGCACGCUUCGGCGUGUGACUGCGUACCUUUUGUAUAAUGGGUCAGCGACUUAUAUUCUGUAGCAAGGUUAACCGAAUAGGGGAGCCGAAGGGAAACCGAGUCUUAACUGGGCGUUAAGUUGCAGGGUAUAGACCCGAAACCCGGUGAUCUAGCCAUGGGCAGGUUGAAGGUUGGGUAACACUAACUGGAGGACCGAACCGACUAAUGUUGAAAAAUUAGCGGAUGACUUGUGGCUGGGGGUGAAAGGCCAAUCAAACCGGGAGAUAGCUGGUUCUCCCCGAAAGCUAUUUAGGUAGCGCCUCGUGAAUUCAUCUCCGGGGGUAGAGCACUGUUUCGGCAAGGGGGUCAUCCCGACUUACCAACCCGAUGCAAACUGCGAAUACCGGAGAAUGUUAUCACGGGAGACACACGGCGGGUGCUAACGUCCGUCGUGAAGAGGGAAACAACCCAGACCGCCAGCUAAGGUCCCAAAGUCAUGGUUAAGUGGGAAACGAUGUGGGAAGGCCCAGACAGCCAGGAUGUUGGCUUAGAAGCAGCCAUCAUUUAAAGAAAGCGUAAUAGCUCACUGGUCGAGUCGGCCUGCGCGGAAGAUGUAACGGGGCUAAACCAUGCACCGAAGCUGCGGCAGCGACGCUGAUGCGUUGUUGGGUAGGGGAGCGUUCUGUAAGCCUGCGAAGGUGUGCUGUGAGGCAUGCUGGAGGUAUCAGAAGUGCGAAUGCUGACAUAAGUAACGAUAAAGCGGGUGAAAAGCCCGCUCGCCGGAAGACCAAGGGUUCCUGUCCAACGUUAAUCGGGGCAGGGUGAGUCGACCCCUAAGGCGAGGCCGAAAGGCGUAGUCGAUGGGAAACAGGUUAAUAUUCCUGUACUUGGUGUUACUGCGAAGGGGGGACGGAGAAGGCUAUGUUGGCCGGGCGACGGUUGUCCCGGUUUAAGCGUGUAGGCUGGUUUUCCAGGCAAAUCCGGAAAAUCAAGGCUGAGGCGUGAUGACGAGGCACUACGGUGCUGAAGCAACAAAUGCCCUGCUUCCAGGAAAAGCCUCUAAGCAUCAGGUAACAUCAAAUCGUACCCCAAACCGACACAGGUGGUCAGGUAGAGAAUACCAAGGCGCUUGAGAGAACUCGGGUGAAGGAACUAGGCAAAAUGGUGCCGUAACUUCGGGAGAAGGCACGCUGAUAUGUAGGUGAAGUCCCUCGCGGAUGGAGCUGAAAUCAGUCGAAGAUACCAGCUGGCUGCAACUGUUUAUUAAAAACACAGCACUGUGCAAACACGAAAGUGGACGUAUACGGUGUGACGCCUGCCCGGUGCCGGAAGGUUAAUUGAUGGGGUCAGCGCAAGCGAAGCUCUUGAUCGAAGCCCCGGUAAACGGCGGCCGUAACUAUAACGGUCCUAAGGUAGCGAAAUUCCUUGUCGGGUAAGUUCCGACCUGCACGAAUGGCGUAAUGAUGGCCAGGCUGUCUCCACCCGAGACUCAGUGAAAUUGAACUCGCUGUGAAGAUGCAGUGUACCCGCGGCAAGACGGAAAGACCCCGUGAACCUUUACUAUAGCUUGACACUGAACAUUGAGCCUUGAUGUGUAGGAUAGGUGGGAGGCUUUGAAGUGUGGACGCCAGUCUGCAUGGAGCCGACCUUGAAAUACCACCCUUUAAUGUUUGAUGUUCUAACGUUGACCCGUAAUCCGGGUUGCGGACAGUGUCUGGUGGGUAGUUUGACUGGGGCGGUCUCCUCCUAAAGAGUAACGGAGGAGCACGAAGGUUGGCUAAUCCUGGUCGGACAUCAGGAGGUUAGUGCAAUGGCAUAAGCCAGCUUGACUGCGAGCGUGACGGCGCGAGCAGGUGCGAAAGCAGGUCAUAGUGAUCCGGUGGUUCUGAAUGGAAGGGCCAUCGCUCAACGGAUAAAAGGUACUCCGGGGAUAACAGGCUGAUACCGCCCAAGAGUUCAUAUCGACGGCGGUGUUUGGCACCUCGAUGUCGGCUCAUCACAUCCUGGGGCUGAAGUAGGUCCCAAGGGUAUGGCUGUUCGCCAUUUAAAGUGGUACGCGAGCUGGGUUUAGAACGUCGUGAGACAGUUCGGUCCCUAUCUGCCGUGGGCGCUGGAGAACUGAGGGGGGCUGCUCCUAGUACGAGAGGACCGGAGUGGACGCAUCACUGGUGUUCGGGUUGUCAUGCCAAUGGCACUGCCCGGUAGCUAAAUGCGGAAGAGAUAAGUGCUGAAAGCAUCUAAGCACGAAACUUGCCCCGAGAUGAGUUCUCCCUGACCCUUUAAGGGUCCUGAAGGAACGUUGAAGACGACGACGUUGAUAGGCCGGGUGUGUAAGCGCAGCGAUGCGUUGAGCUAACCGGUACUAAUGAACCGUGAGGCUUAACCUU
rnacentral:rRNA from 1 species